rnacentral:rRNA from 1 species
UACGUAGGUGGCGAGCGUUGUCCGGAUUUAUUGGGCGUAAAGGGAACGCAGGCGGUCUUUUAAGUCUGAUGUGAAAGCCUUCGGCUUAACCGAAGUAGUGCAUUGGAAACUGGAAGACUUGAGUGCAGAAGAGGAGAGUGGAACUCCAUGUGUAGCGGUGAAAUGCGUAGAUAUAUGGAAGAACACCAGUGGCGAAAGCGGCUCUCUGGUCUGUAACUGACGCUGAGGUUCGAAAGCGUGGGUAGCAAACAGG